rnacentral:rRNA from 3 species
GUUUGAUGUUCUAACGUGGACCCGUUACCCGGGUUGCGGACAGUGUCUGGUGGGUAGUUUGACUGGGGCGGUCUCCUCCUAAAGAGUAACGGAGGAGCACGAAGGUUGGCUAAUCCUGGUCGGACAUCAGGAGGUUAGUGCAAUGGCAUAAGCCAGCUUGACUGCGAGCGUGACGGCGCGAGCAGGUGCGAAAGCAGGUCAUAGUGAUCCGGUGGUUCUGAAUGGAAGGGCCAUCGCUCAACGGAUAAAAGGUACUCCGGGGAUAACAGGCUGAUACCGCCCAAGAGUUCAUAUCGACGGCGGUGUUUGGCACCUCGAUGUCGGCUCAUCACAUCCUGGGGCUGAAGUAGGUCCCAAGGGUAUGGCUGUUCGCCAUUUAAAGUGGUACGCGAGCUGGGUUUAGAACGUCGUGAGACAGUUCGGUCCCUAUCUGCCGUGGGCGCUGGAGAACUGAGGGGGGCUGCUCCUAGUACGAGAGGACCGGAGUGGACGCAUCACUGGUGUUCGGGUUGUCAUGCCAAUGGCACUGCCCGGUAGCUAAAUGCGGAAGAGAUAAGUGCUGAAAGCAUCUAAGCACGAAACUUGCCCCGAG